rnacentral:rRNA from 1 species
GAUGAACGCUAGCUACAGGCUUAACACAUGCAAGUCGAGGGGAAACGACAUCGAAAGCUUGCUUUUGAUGGGCGUCGACCGGCGCACGGGUGAGUAACGCGUAUCCAACCUGCCCAUCACUUGGGAAUAACCUUGCGAAAGUAAGACUAAUACCCAAUGAUAUCCCACGAAGGCAUCGGAAUGGGAUUAAAGAUUUAUCGGUGAUGGAUGGGGAUGCGCCUGAUUAGCUUGUUGGCGGGGUAACGGCCCACCAAGGCAACGAUCAGUAGGGGUUCUGAGAGGAAGGUCCCCCACAUUGGAACUGAGACACGGUCCAAACUCCGACGGGAGGCAGCAGUGAGGAAUAUUGGUCAAUGGGCGAGAGCCUGAACCAGCCAAGUAGCGUGCAGGAAGACGGCCCUAUGGGUUGUAAACUGCUUUUAUAAGGGAAUAAAGUGGGUCACGUGUGACUUUUUGCAUGUACCUUAUGAAUAAGGACCGGCUAAUUCCGUG